rnacentral:rRNA from 1 species
AUUGAACGCUGGCGGCAUGCUUUACACAUGCAAGUCGAACGGUAACAGGCCGCAAGGUGCUGACGAGUGGCGAACGGGUGAGUAAUGCAUCGGAACGUGCCCAGUCGUGGGGGAUAACGCAGCGAAAGCUGCGCUAAUACCGCAUACGAUCUAUGGAUGAAAGCGGGGGACCGUAAGGCCUCGCGCGAUUGGAGCGGCCGAUGUCAGAUUAGGUAGUUGGUGGGGUAAAGGCUCACCAAGCCAACAAUCUGUAGCUGGUCUGAGAGGACGACCAGCCACACUAGGACUGAGACACGGCCCAGACUCCUACGGGAGGCAGCAGUGGGGAAUUUUGGACAAUGGGCGCAAGCCUGAUCCAGCAAUGCCGCGUGCAGGAAGAAGGCCUUCGGGUUGUAAACUGCUUUUGUACGGAACGAAACGGUCCUGGUUAAUACCUGGGGCUAAUGACGGUACCGUAAGAAUAAGCACCGGCUAACUACGUGCCAGCCGCCGCGGUAAAAC